UACGGAGGAUGCGAGCGUUAUCCGGAUUUAUUGGGUUUAAAGGGUGCGCAGGCGGCACGGCAAGCCGGCGGUCAAAUCGCGGGGCUCAACCCCGCCCAGCCGUUGAAACUGUCAGACUUGAGUUGGCGAGAAGUACGCGGAAUGCGCGGUGUAGCGGUGAAAUGCAUAGAUAUCGCGCAGAACUCCGAUUGCGAAGGCAGCGUACCGGCGCCACACUGACGCUGAGGCACGAAAGCGUGGGGAGCAAACAGG
rnacentral:rRNA from 1 species